rnacentral:rRNA from 1 species
GACGAACGCUGGCGGCGUGCCUAACACAUGCAAGUCGAGCGGAGUCAGUAAGAGGAAGUUUUCGGAUGGAAUCUUAUUGAUUUAGCGGCGGACGGGUGAGUAACGCGUGAGCGACCAACCUUGCACAGGGGGAUAACGGACCGAAAGGUUCACUAAUACCGCAUGAGACCACGGUGUUGCAUGACACAGAGGUCAAAGGAGCAAUCCGGUGCAAGACGGGCUCGCGUCCGAUUAGGUAGUUGGAGGGGUAACGGCCCACCAAGCCUAUGAUCGGUAGCCGACCUGAGAGGGUGAUCGGCCACAUUGGAACUGAGAUACGGUCCAAACUCCUACGGGAGGCAGCAGUGGGGAAUAUUGGGCAAUGGGGGAAACCCUGACCCAGCAACGCCGCGUGAAGGAAGAAGGUUUUCGGAUUGUAAACUUCUGUCCUUGGUGAAGAGAAGAAGACGGUAGCCAAGGAGGAAGCCCCGGCUAACUACGUG